AUGAAGGUACUAGUAGAAGGGGCCAGUAGGCCUUAUCACCAAAGGUAGUAGUUGAAUGUUAAGUACUCAUUCUUUAACCAAAUGUCUCGUGUUUGAGUAAGUUGUCUUUGGCAAAGAAGGGGAGAUCUUAUUCUUAUCACCAAAGAUUUUGAUGAAAUGAUAAAUAAAAGUUCUCGGUUUCUUUAAUCAGAUGUUUCGAGUUCAAGUAAGUUUCCUUUAGUAGGAAGUGUUUUACGCGCCCCAAAUUGGAAGGUGCAAAUUCAAAUACAUUUUCUAGUGCAC
rnacentral:lncRNA from 1 species